CCUACGGGUGGCUGCAGUGGGGAAUAUUGCACAAUGGGCGGAAGUCUGAAGCAGCGACGCCGCGUGAGUGAAGAAGUCUCUCUGUAUGGAAAGCUCUAUCUGCAGGGAGGAAAAUGCCGGUACCUGACUCGGGAUCACCGGCUAACUCCGUGCCAGCAGCCGCGGUAAUACGGAGGGGGCAAGCGUUAUCCGGAUUUACUGGGUGUAAAGGGGGCGUAGACGGUAGAGCAAGUCUGAAGUGAAAGCCCGCGGCCCAACUGCGGGACUGCGUCGGAAACUGUCCGGCUAGAGUGCAGGAGAGGUAAGCGGAAUGCCUAGUGUAGCGGUGAAAUGCGUAGAGAUUAGGAGGAACACCAGUGGCGAAGGCGGCUUACUGGACAGCAACUGACGUUGAGGCUCGAAAGCGUGGGGAGCAAACAGGAUUAGAUACCCUGGUAGUC
rnacentral:rRNA from 1 species